rnacentral:tRNA from 1 species
GUCCCGUUCAUCUAGUGGUUAGGAUCGCAGGGUUUCAUCCUGUUAACGAGAGUUCGAAUCUCUCACGGGGCUCCA